UUACGGCCACAUCAUGUUGAAACACCGAUUCUGGUAAGACUAUGGCAGUUAAGCAACUUCGAACCUGGAUAGUAUUUAGAUGGGUCACCGCGUUGGAAUAGCAGGUGUUGCAAGC